UGCAAGUCGAGCGGUUGACGGGAGCUUGCUCCCUGAUUCAGCGGCGGACGGGUGAGUAAUGCCUAGGAAUCUGCCUAUUAGUGGGGGACAACGUUUCGAAAGGAACGCUAAUACCGCAUACGUCCUACGGGAGAAAGCAGGGGACCUUCGGGCCUUGCGCUAAUAGAUGAGCCUAGGUCGGAUUAGCUAGUUGGUGGGGUAAAGGCUCACCAAGGCGACGAUCCGUAACUGGUCUGAGAGGAUGAUCAGUCACACUGGAACUGAGACACGGUCCAGACUCCUACGGGAGGCAGCAGUGGGGAAUAUUGGACAAUGGGCGAAAGCCUGAUCCAGCCAUGCCGCGUGUGUGAAGAAGGUCUUCGGAUUGUAAAGCACUUUAAGUUGGGAGGAAGGGUUGUAGAUUAAUACUCUGCAAUUUUGACGUUACCGACAGAAUAAGCACCGGCUAACUCUGUGCCAGCAGCCGCGGUAAUACAGAGGGUGCAAGCGUUAAUCGGAAUUACUGGGCGUAAAGCGCGCGUAGGUGGUUUGUUAAGUUGGAUGUGAAAGCCCCGGGCUCAACCUGGGAACUGCAUCCAAAACUGGCAAGCUAGAGUACGGUAGAGGGUGGUGGAAUUUCCUGUGUAGCGGUGAAAUGCGUAGAUAUAGGAAGGAACACCAGUGGCGAAGGCGACCACCUGGACUGAUACUGACACUGAGGUGCGAAAGCGUGGGGAGCAAACAGGAUUAGAUACCCUGGUAGUCCACGCCGUAAACGAUGUCAACUAGCCGUUGGAAUCCUUGAGAUUUUAGUGGCGCAGCUAACGCAUUAAGUUGACCGCCUGGGGAGUACGGCCGCAAGGUUAAAACUCAAAUGAAUUGACGGGGGCCCGCACAAGCGGGUGGGAGCAUGUGGGUUUAAUUUCGAAGCAACGCGAAGACCCUUACCUUGGCCUUUGGACAUGCUGAGACUUUCCAGAGGAUGGAUUGCUGGCUUUCGGACUCAGACCAGGUGCCUGCAUGCCUGUCGUCAGCUC
rnacentral:rRNA from 1 species